GGGCAGCCAGGGCCUUCAGCUGAUAAAUUUGAUGCCUCCUAAUUGAUCUGCUGUUGUCAAAAGGUGAAUUGCACUGCUGAGUCAGGCUGCAAAGAGAGGUACAAAUCUUCAGGCUGGUUUCAGUUCUGGUGAAGAUCAGGUUUCCCAGCAAAGGGGGACAGCCUUUCUCCAUCCCACUCCUGGAGCUUGUGGCUAUUUGGACAUAAAUCUCUUCUCAGGACUGUUGAACAGGACUUGUUGAUAAUACUGCAAGCAGCUCUGCUGGAUGGAGUGAACACCAAGCAGUGUCUGCACCAUGGUUAUUUGGCGUUGUUCCAAAGAGUGAUGUUUGUUCUCCUCUGCUAACACAGAUCCUGGUAAAAAUAGCAGUCAGCUUCCUAAAAGAAAAGCCACAUGUCAGUGGAAGGAUGAACUGUGGGAGAAAAAAGCAGAGAGGACUGUGUUUAGGGCCUUUGUGCAGGGGCUGGAUGGGUCACAGUCCAUAAGCUUUUGCACCUUGCAGAGUGCAGCAGCAGUGGGAGAUCCUUGGUGCAGAAGUUCAAUGCUGUUACAGAGGAGCUCCCAGUACUCAUCAGCCACCAAGGCAUGGAGCAUCCUGGCUUGUACCAGGCAGGUCCUGACCCAAACCAUCCCCAGAGCCCAGAGAAUGGCACUGAAGUAUUGGCAUUGCUGCAAGAUGAGAAGCUAAUGCAGCUUCUGCACAGAAAAGGAGCAAACAGCAACAAGAAGAUGAUGGGGUGGCUGGUUCUGCUGUCCGUGGUUCCAAGUUUAGGGCACUUGAAGCCAUGAGGGAGUCAGAGUCAAUGAAUUCCAGUCUGGUGGGAUUCAUAGAAUGUUUUCUACUGAUUGUGGCCUUUAUGCUUCUGUCCUGUCACUGCUGGGCCAUUUGGGAAUGAAAAGAUUUCUUUUGUGUUCCUGAUGUUGCCAUGACCUAGCUACCACCUUAGUCAGAUAACUCAAUUCUCAUCCCUGUCUCAUCUUCAGAGCUUGACCUGCAGGAUAUAUAUUUUUUCCCCAGUACAUGUUUGUCCUGUGCUUUAUCAGGCCAGUUGUGAUCUCUUGACAGUAUCUGCUCAUUGCAGAAGUGAUGCAUUGCUGCUGUUAGAUCUGACAAUAACACUUACAAGGGAGCAUUACCUAAAAAUCCCCAUACCCACACUGGAGCACUCAUUCAGCUGCUCAGAACACUGUUGUUUGCUCUGCUUGCUGUUUCUAGUUUCAAAGUUGAUUCAUAUGGCUUUAGUAUAAAUCUUUUCAGGUGCCUUUGCUGUUAUAUUAUUGCAUCCUUGUGAAAUUCACAAAUUUUAUUUGUAUAAAACUAUUUAGGUUUCUGUUAAGGGUAUGGAAUUUGAGUAAAUGGAAUAGUAGUUUUAAGAAGUAGUGUCAGAACUUGGAUUUCCUCACACACCCUGUAGGAUCAGGGACUGCAUCUGAGCUUAAGUGAUAUUUAAUAAAACAUCCUCACUAUCAAUGUUCUAGCCUAUGAUUGUUCUGAAGAAGUUUAUUCCUCUUUGUAACA